rnacentral:rRNA from 1 species
UGAAUACGAGACGCUAAGGCGUCGAAGUAGGGUAUGUCUUACUUCCAAGAAAAGCUUGCACUGUCAUAAGUAAAAAAUGCCUGUACCAUAACCGACACAGGUGGGUAGGUAGAGUAUACUAAGGGGCGCGAGAUAACUCUCUCUAAGGAACUCGGCAAAAUAACUCCGUAACUUCGGGAGAAGGAGUACCUUAUUCUAUGAGGUUGCAAUAACAAGAUCCAAGCAACUGUUUAUCAAAAACACAGGUCUCCGCUAAGUCGUAAGACGAUGUAUGGGGGCUGACGCCUGCCCAGUGCCAGAAGGUUAAAGAAGUCGGUUAGCAUUAGCGAAGCUGGUAACUGAAGCCCUGGUGAACGGCGGCCGUAACUAUAACGGUCCUAAGGUAGCGAAAUUCCUUGUCGGGUAAGUUCCGACCCGCACGAAAGGCGUAAUGAUUUGGAUACUGUCUCGGAGAGGGGCUCGGUGAAAUAGACUUGUCUGUGAAGAUGCGGACUACCUGCACCAGGACAGAAAGACCCUAUGAAGCUUUACUGUAACUUGAAAUUGAAAUUGGACUUUAUUCGCGCAGUAUAGGUGGGAGGUGUUGAUUAUAAUCUUGCGGGAUUAUUGGAGCCAUCAGUGAGAUACCACUCUUGCAAUGUUAGAUUUCUAACUUUGAAUCAUUAUCUGGUCAAAGGACAGUUUCAGGCGGGCAGUUUGACUGGGGCGGUCGCCUCCCAAACGGUAACGGAGGCGUACAAAGGUUUCCUCUGAACGGGUAGAAAUCGUAUCUAGAGUGUAAAGGCAUAAGGAAGCUUGACUGUGAGACCUACAAGUCGAACAGGGACGAAAGUCGGUCUUAGUGAUCUGACGGUACUGAGUGGAAAGGCCGUCACUCAACGGAUAAAAGUUACUCUAAGGAUAACAGGCUGAUCUCCCCCAAGAGUUCACAUCGACGGGGAGGUUUGGCACCUCGAUGUCGGCUCAUCGCAUCCUGGGGCGGUAGUACGUCCCAAGGGUUGGGCUGUUCGCCCAUGAAAGCGGUACGCGAGCCGGGUUCAGAACGUCGUGAGACAGUUCGGUCCAUAUCCGGUGUAGGCGUUAGAAUAUUGAGAGGAGCCUUCUUUAGUACGAGAGGACCGAGAAGGACAUACCUCUGGUGUACCAGUUAUCGUGCCAACGGUAAACGCUGGGUAGCUAUGUAUGGAGUGGAUAACCGCUGAAAGCAUCUAAGUGGGAAGCCCACCUCAAGAUAAGUAUUCUCA